CAGCCGCCGCGGUAAUACGGAGGGUGCAAGCGUUAAUCGGAAUUACUGGGCGUAAAGCGUGCGUAGGCGGUUCGUUAAGUCUGUUGUGAAAGCCCCGGGCUCAACCUGGGAAUGGCAAUGGAUACUGGCGAGCUAGAGUGUGUCAGAGGAUGGUGGAAUUCCCGGUGUAGCGGUGAAAUGCGUAGAGAUCGGGAGGAACAUCAGUGGUGAAGGCGGCCAUCUGGGACAACACUGACGCUGAGGCACGAAAGCGUGGGGAGCAAACAGGAUUAGAUACCCGCGUAGUCCCUGUCUCUUAUAC
rnacentral:rRNA from 1 species